GCUAUAAAAAUACAAUAUUUAUGAGUAGCUGUGAAAAUUUUGUACACUUUUGGUUUAGUCGAUAUAUAGCACCGCAUCAGUGUACAACGAAAAUGGGAAAAGCAGAAAGUGCUGGGUUGUUCAGAGAUGAGCAAUUCAGUUUGGGGGAAAAAAAUUUACGUAAAAUUGUGCUGAACAACUUGGCAAAUUGCGUAAAUUCAUUUUAAAGUACUACAGCGAACGAAAACGAAUAUAAAACGUCGAAAUUUUUUGAUAUUUAGUACAAGUCGAUCUAAAUUUUCUUAAAGUUACCACGUUGAAACGUUGAUAACUUUUUACGAAAUAGCUGUGAUAUUUUUGUAUCUCUAAUACAUUUCCAACUUAUACGGUUGGAAUAGAUUUUCCUAAAAUUUUCUUUGAUUUAUGUCGCUAAGCACAAGUUGUGUCCUUGUGUAAGGUACGUGAGCGGAAGAGCUGGAGCUUGCGAAGGAGAAUUACAUGGCAGGCGACAGUAACGGUGGUGGCGACAAUGGGGACAGUUGGGCAACGGCCAAGUCACAGAGACGGUCGCCCUUCACACAUCCCCAACUGCUCCACCCAACAACACUCUGCUCUACAGGCACUCAGGUUCAACAGUGAUAUUCUCUCUCAUUAAGUGAUUGUGGUGACCUUCGGCCACACAAAUACACAAUUGCAACCAUUUGCUGUAAUUGCUAUGUUUUUUUUAAGUUAAAAAAGCUAGUAUGUAAGCAAAUUGGCUGUCUGUGAUAUUUUUUGUGUAUUUGUCAUAGAUCUAAAAGCUAGAAAAACAGCAAAAAAUGCUAGCAGUAAUCUAUUUUAAUUUAUUUAAAUUCUAUUACUGAGCAAAUUUUUGCUGUGCAAGGCAAAUUUAGAUUUAUGAUAAAUUGUGAUAAGAAACUGUGAUAUGUUUUGUGUUCAUUUUUUUUUUGUAUAAAACUG